CAUAUUUUUGCUAGAUAUCAGAAAAGUGACAUGCGCAGAAGAGUCACAACGACAAUAACAACAAACGCCGAAUUUCCAUAACGAAAUGGCUAACGAAAUUGCAUAACAAAUAGCCAUUCUGGAUUGUGACCUGCUGCUCCAUGGUCAUAGACAUAAAACUCUCGACAGGUUUGAUAUAGAGACUGUUUCAGAUGAGUUCCUAUUAACAACAUUUGGAUUCCCUCGAGAUUUCAUCUACUACCUGGUGGAGCUACUGCGUGACACUUUAGGAUUCUAUACCUCAGGAUCCUUCCAGACGAGGAUGGGAGAUGCCAUUGUCAUUAGCCAGGCUUCCAUGAGUCGCUGUGUGACAAAUUCAACCAAGGCACUGGUUGAGAAAGCUCCAAAGUGCAUAGGAUUCAUGAGAGAGGAAGCCACAAAACAGCAGUCCAAAGAGGAGUUUUUCAGGGUAGCAGGAAUACCUAACGUCAUGGGGGUUGUAGACUGUGCCCAUAUAGCCAUUAAGGCACCCAAUGCAGAUGAUUCUUCAUCUGUCAAUAAGAAAGGCUUCCAUUCAAUAAACUGUCAACUUGUGUGUGAUGCCAGGGGACUUUUGCUCAGUGCAGAGACUAACUGGCCUGGCAGUUUACAGGAUAACUGCAUAUUUCAAGAGUCUUCAGUGUACAAGGAAUUGGAAGAGCAGGAAAAUCACGAAAGCUGGUUAUUAGGAGACUGCCACUAUCCUUUAAAGAAAUGGCUGAUGACACCUGUCUAGUACACAGAAACUUCAGCAGACUUUCGAUACAACCUGGCUCACACUGCCACUCAUAAGAUGGUGGACCGCACGUUCAGGGCCAUUCAAACCCGUUUCCGUUGCCUGGAUGGGUCCAAAGGCUACCUUCAGUACUCACCUGAGAAGUGCUCUCACAUCAUUCUGGCCUGCUGCGUCUUGCACGACGUGUCAUUGCAACCAGGCUUGGAUGCCUGGACGUUUAAGAGGACUGAUAUACCAGGCCAGUCAGAUGACGGCAGUCGAAAGCCAGAGGCUGUGGACUCUGAGGCAGUCCGAAUCCGCCAGGAGCUCAUUCUUAGUCACUUCAGCUAGGUCUGCAUGCUCAGAAUCAACAGGGAAAACACUAUGUUUCACAGAGCCUCUGCCUGCAAUAGAGAAGUGGUUGACACCAGAUUCUGUAUAACAUUUACAUUUACAUUUACAUUUAAGUCAUUUAGCAGACGCUCUUAUCCAGAGCGACUUACAAAUUGGUGCAUUCACCUUAUGACAUCCAGUGGAACAGUAGUGCAUCUAAAUCUUUUAAGGCGGGGGGUG